rnacentral:rRNA from 1 species
ACUCCUACGGGAGGCAGCAGUGGGGAAUAUUGCACAAUGGGCGCAAGCCUGAUGCAGCCAUGCCGCGUGUGUGAAGAAGGCCUUCGGGUUGUAAAGCACUUUCAGUCGUGAGGAAGGGUAGUUGUAGUUAAUAGCUGCAUUAUUUGACGUUAGCGACAGAAGAAGCACCGGCUAACUCCGUGCCAGCAGCCGCGGUAAUACGGAGGUGCGAGCGUUAAUCGGAAUUACUGGGCGUAAAGCGCAUGCAGGUGGUUUGUUAAGUCAGAUGUGAAAGCCGG